CCACUCCCGGGAGGUCUGCGCAGGUUUUAUUCGUGAGUGUUGCGACACGUUUCAGACCGUUCCUCCUCCAGCCUUCUCCAUUUCCAUCAUGGGCUCCUUCCUCCCCACAGGGCUUUGAAAAGAAAUGGACAAUGAAAGAGCUGGUUCUGGGGUACAGAGUUUUCUUUCUCUGCGGUGCCUGUUGGUUUAUCACAAUCUUGAAGCGAGUAUCCAAUGUCUGGAUAAAUCUGCUGGAAAACAACAGACGGCCAAUCCCAGUGCCUGGAUGAGGACAAAAACACCCAUCAAAGAAGGAGAAACGCACAGAGUUCUGCUAAUUCUGAGAUCAC